AAGGCCGCUUCAGUGUCGGUCCAAGAGCAACGUCAGCCUUGGCCGCCAGUUGGGUUUCCCGUGUUGCAUACCUACUGUGAUGGCAUCCGUUUGCCAAAAUUGUCCCUCGUUCGUCUCGUGAUACGCCCGUCGGGGAUGUUAAACGGACGAACCGCCAGGCACCUGUCGCACUCCACUGCGCAAGCGUCACGACGUGUUGCGUUUAUUGGCGUGCUGCGAGUCGCUUGUGCUCUCGGAUUCAGAACGCAUUGCGGGUACGGGGCCGACGGCCUCUGUUUGCCCAGAACGAAACGGCGUCCGUCGCUAACAGCGUGCGACUGUCGUGCCCGUCUUGGCCGGCCGACCCUGCGGUCG
rnacentral:misc_RNA from 1 species